rnacentral:rRNA from 1 species
AUGAACGCUGGCGGCGUGCCUAAUACAUGCAAGUCGAGCGAACGGACGAGAAGCUUGCUUCUCUGAUGUUAGCGGCGGACGGGUGAGUAACACGUGGAUAACCUACCUAUAAGACUGGGAUAACUUCGGGAAACCGUAGCUAAUACCGGAUAAUAUUUUGAACCGCAUGGGUCAAAAGUGAAAGACGGUCUUGCUGUCACUUAUAGAUGGAUCCGCGCUGCAUUAGCUAGUUGGUAAGGUAACGGCUUACCAAGGCAACGAUGCAUAGCCGACCUGAGAGGGUGAUCGGCCACACUGGAACUGAGACACGGUCCAGACUCCUACGGGAGGCAGCAGUAGGGAAUCUUCCGCAAUGGGCGAAAGCCUGACGGAGCAACGCCGCGUGAGUGAUGAAGGCCUUCGGAUCGUAAAACUCUGUUAUUAGGGAAGAACAUAUGUGUAAGUAACUGUGCACAUCUUGACGGUACCUAAUCAGAAAGCCACGGCUAACUACGUG